AGUGAACGCUGGCGGCAUGCCUUACACAUGCAAGUCGAACGGCAGCACGGGUGCUUGCUCCUGGUGGCGAGUGGCGAACGGGUGAGUAAUACAUCGGAACAUGUCCUUUAGUGGGGGAUAGCCCGGCGAAAGCCGGAUUAAUACCGCAUACGAUCUACGGAUGAAAGCGGGGGACCUUCGUGCCUCGCGCUUUAGGGUUGGCCGAUGGCUGAUUAGCUAGUUGGUGGGGUAAAGGCCUACGAAGGCGACGAUCAGUAGAUGGUCUGAGAGGACGAGCAGCCACACUGGGACUGAGACACGGCCCAGACUCCUACGGGAGGCAGCAGUGGGGAAUUUUGGACAAUGGGCGAAAGCCUGAUCCAGCAAUGCCGCGUGUGUGAAGAAGGCCUUCGGGUUGUAAAGCACUAUUGUCCGGAAAGAAAUCCUUGGCUCUAAUACAGUCGGGGGAUGACGGUACCGGAAGAAUAAGCACCGGCUAACUACGUG
rnacentral:rRNA from 1 species